GAACGCGAGCGUUAGCGGCGGCCAAUGUGAUAAGUACCGUCGUCCGCCGUGGGGUGAGCGAAAAAGCCGACUCUCUGCAAGCACUUGAGUAGGAAGGCCGCCAUCAGCGAUCUCUCCAGGAAGUCUUUGCCCGUCCGUCUGUCGUGUGCAGGAUACGUCGAAGAAGAGUGAUGAAGGGGGCAGAAAGAAGGACACGGGGCUUCGUGAAAUUAAUAAAAUAUCUAGUUGAUCUGAGUCCGUUCGAUAGUCGAGGAUUUUUAUCUCUUCCGGAUUUCGUACAAACGAUGUGCGCUUUCGGAGAUUUUCUCGCUGAGCGGUGCAACUAUCGUGAAUGGCAAUUGGCGAGUGGUUUUUAUGCAUUCAAUGCGCUCGUGUGCGUAACUUCUUCGACAUUUUCCCCGCGGAAUAAGAUGCAUUGGGGGAGUUCGAUAGCUGCUCCAAGUUCCCCUUAAGAUUUUACAGGUGAGACUGUUUUGAGCAGAUUUUGAUGACUCUUGUCGUAUGUCUUUUCGUAAUUCUAUUUCGUCGUUCCUUGUGAUAAGUACAAGCGUCACAUGAAGCAUUCAUGAGGGACGCAAACUUUUACAAAUCGGCUAGUGAAGCUCCCGAAUGGACUUUCAUGAUUAUCACGACUUGAGGCAGUCGAUAAUGGAAAUCUUACAAUUCUUUUAAUACAUCGGUGAAGCAAAUAUUGGAUUUACAUCUGUAUUGAAUUUAUAUCGUCCAAUGUAAAUUUUUUGUUGUAUUGAUGC